UCUUCUUCGCCUCCCCAUUGAAAUUAAGCGAUCAUCCAUCGAUUGCUUCCAUCUGUCCGCUGGCUCAAUCGGUUCCUCUGCUUUUUGUGUUUUCCUUUUUCCACUCAACUCGCCGACCCAUUUCCGGUUCUUGCCCAGACAGUUGCUGGCUGCUCUAACCAGUAACCACAACAGUGUCGGAGAAACAGCUAUAAGAGAUACAUUGGUACAAGUUAUGAACGAGGCCUUUUUGAAAUCAGGAUCAAAGAAAUCAGCUGUUCGAGCUCUUUGUUUAGGUGUAUCUUGUGUCAAUCAUCCAGACCAUCAGGAAAGGAUAUUAAAUUGGUUGAGGAUGUUGAAAACUCACGUGAUGACUUCAAGGGAACGCAUGCCUGAUGCAAUUUCUAUUGACAAGUAUCAGCAAGGGGAGAACCCAGAUCCUGUGUUUCAUGACCCGGUGUCCAACCAAAAGGAUAUCCCUCCCUCUGGAGUGCAUGACAAGGAAGAGCAAGGUAACCUGAAACAGUGACAAAACACAUAUGAAGCUGGGGCAUCAGAAGUCAGUCAAGAAGUCAGCAUCAAUCUGGUGGAGUCGGAGAAGUUGCCAAAUAAUUUAAACCAGUACAAAGCCUUGAUGAUGUAACAGAUGCAUCAUAGUCAAACCAAGAUGGAAGCUCUAUAUCUAUGGUGCACGAGACAGAGCCAGUCAGUUUGUAUCAAGGGCAUAGCUAUGAUAGUGCUACACGAGCACUGAAAUCUUGUCCUGAAGGAAGUUAUCUCCCCACAAUUCUGAGUUAGAGUUGGACAAUUCGCUACCACACAGAGCCUUGGUACUAUUAUUUUGACCUCAAAAACUGCUGAACAAGGAACGGCUCUUUCUUCUGUGCCUGAAAUUGUGCAGGACGCAUUGCAGCAAAAUCAGGAUCCUGAUAGAUAUCUCCCUGUUUCAAAGUCUGAUCAAGAUAAGUCUAGUUUAUCCAUAAUGCAGGAAAAAGUUCUGGAAAAAUUACCCCUCCGUAGGAACCCUGAAGUGGCACAGGUGUUUGAGGACUUUGUUGAGGUUUACAAUGUUCAUGGUUACCCCGACAAUUAAUAUGAGUUAUAUUACCUCAUGAGUUCGUUCCAUUUGUUUUUUAGCUGGGCAACUUAAAAAUGUGCAUUUGUAAUAAGUCCGAACGAAUUGAUUUCCUCUGACAAUUUUCUGCCCAUACUUUCUUCAGUUAUGUCCAUCUUCUGAUGGUUUUUCAGGCAUUUUACUACGAGGUCUCCCUUCCUGAACAGACUGUAAUGCUUGCACCCUGAUAUCGGCAGGUUCCUUUUUAAAAAGAAAAGACCUGAACCUUUAGCUUAUAGAAUAGAUUUAUUGCUCAAUUCUCUUACAAUUACAUGCAAGCAUUUUGUUAUUUUACACCA